UGGGGAAUAUUGCACAAUGGGGGAAACCCUGAUGCAGCGACGCCGCGUGAAGGAAGAAGGCCCUCGGGUUGUAAACUUCUUUGACCAGGGACGAAGAAAGUGACGGUACCUGGAGAACAAGCCACGGCUAACUACGUGCCAGCAGCCGCGGUAAUACGUAGGUGGCGAGCGUUGUCCGGAAUUACUGGGUGUAAAGGGCGUGUAGGCGGGUUCUUAAGUCAGAUGUGAAAUCCCGGGGCUCAACUCCGGAGCUGCAUCUGAAACUGGGAAUCUUGAGUGCUGGAGGGGAAAGUGGAAUUCCUAGUGUAGCGGUGAAAUGCGUAGAGAUUAGGAGGAACACCAGUGGCGAAGGCGGCUUUCUGGACAGUAACUGACGCUGAGGCGCGAAAGCGUGGGGAGCAAACAGG
rnacentral:rRNA from 1 species